UACGUAGGGUGCAAGCGUUAAUCGGAAUUACUGGGCGUAAAGCGUGCGCAGGCGGUUUUGUAAGUCUGUCGUGAAAUCCCCGGGCUCAACCUGGGGAAUUGCGUUGGAGACUGCAAGGCUGGAGUCUGGCAGAGGGGGGUAGAAUUCCACGUGUAGCAGUGAAAUGCGUAGAUAGUCAGGAGGAACACCGGUGGCGAAGGCGGGACUCUGGGCCGA
rnacentral:rRNA from 1 species